rnacentral:rRNA from 1 species
CCUACGGGAGGCAGCAGUGGGGAAUAUUGGGCAAUGGGCGCAAGCCUGACCCAGCAACGCCGCGUGAAGGAAGAAGGCUUUCGGGUUGUAAACUUCUUUUAAUGGGGAAGAGCAGAAGACGGUACCCCUUGAAUAAGCCACGGCUAACUACGUGCCAGCAGCCGCGGUAAUACGUAGGUGGCAAGCGUUGUCCGGAUUUCCUGGGUGUAAAGGGCGUGCAGCCGGAGAGACAAGUCAGAUGUGAAAUCCACGGGCUCAACCCGUGAACUGCAUUUGAAACUGUUUCCCUUGAGUGUCGGAGAGGUAAUCGGAAUUCCUUGAGUAGCGGUGAAAUGCGUAGAUAUAAGGAAGAACACCAGUGGCGAAGGCGGAUUACUGGACGAUAACUGACGGUGAGGCGCGAAAGCGUGGGGAGCAAACAGGAUGAGACACCCGAGUAGUC